UACGUAGGGUGCAAGCGUUAAUCGGAAUUACUGGGCGUAAAGCGUGCGCAGGCGGUUCUCCAAGUCCGUUGUGAAAGCCCCGGGCUCAACCUGGGAAUGGCAGUGGAAACUAGGGGACUGGAAUCUGGCAGAGGGGGGUGGAAUGCCGCGUGUAGCAGUGAAAUGCGUAGAGAUGUGGAGGAACACCGAUGGCGAAGGCAGCCCCCUGGGCUGAGAUUGACGCUCAGGCACGAAAGCGUGGGGAGCAAACAGG
rnacentral:rRNA from 1 species